CAGCCCCAGGGGUGCUUCUUCCAGGUGACACCCCGGUAGCCACCGCCAAGAACAUGCCUGGGGACAGCGCAGAUCUGUUUGGGGACAGCGCGGCAGAGGACAGCGGUGCGGCCAACGGGGCCUGUGGCCCACGGUCAUCAUCAGGGAGCAGGAGCACCGCAUCGACCUGCACAUGAUCCGGCCGCACAUGAAGGUGGUCACCCACAGAGGCUACCACAGCGAGGGCCUCAACGCCAUCAUCGUCUAUGCCGCCAGCUUCCUCCAGGACAGCAGCUGCCCAGACUACCACUAUGUCCUGGAGAACCUCUUCCUGAGAUUGUAAUAAAAAUGGAAGAAGAACCAAGUUCUGCUUUGGACUCUGAAGAGACUUUUAAUUCUUGAAGGUAGGUAGUAAAUACAGAGAUAUACAAUAUUACAGGAUAAUGUAUAAGAUCCAAUAUCUUAGAGGAUUCUAAUCUUAGAAUAAAUAGCAAGGAACUAGGACUUGUGCUUUUAAAAUGUGAUAAUAUUACUGUGAUAUGUAAUUAUCUGCAGAAAUAAUGAGUAUCAGAAAAUGUAAUAACCCAAAUUCUUGUAAAUGAGCUUACAUCAGAUAUCUGUUGCUCUCCUAUCCUACAGCACACUAAUUAGAACAAAUGUACAUGUAGUAUUAACCUUUAUUAUAAUUUGUUUUUUUGUUUUUCCCAUAUGUCUUUUACAGUACUAAAGACUUCUUUCGGAGUACCUACGAAAGGUUAAAAUGCAAAUGUGAUUGAAUUAAGAGCUGUUUGUUAAUGCCCUUUUAGGGCUCUUCAGCCAAUAGGGCUGUUACAGCUCAAACAGGAAAGGAUUCAGUUGGCAGGCCAACACUGCUGUCAAAUAGUAUUACAGUAUUUAAAGUGUGAAAUUAAUAUUUUUCUACCCAGUAGGCAGUAGCUCUCAUAAUGUAAUAAGCUUAAUUGUGAAUUUGGCACUUGGGUUAAAUGUAGCAUUCAUAGAAGCACAGUGCUGGUGUAUAUUUUCUUAUUAAUAUUAAUAGACAAAACCUAGAAAAAUGUAGCAGUGUCACAUUAAAAUAGCCACAGAAUUAUUAGUAAAAUUUGCUUCAGAAGAUUAAAAUUAUUUUUCUGUUGCCAUUAUAGCUCUUUUAAACUAGCUAGUAACAGGUUAUUAAAAAUAUAUAAAUUUUCCAGUGUUCAGAAGUCCUUUUGUGUAACAACUAUUUAAACUGCCUCAGAAAUCCUAACCUUUCUUCAUGAUCGGAUAGCUCAGGCCUUAAGCCUACCACUGACAUACUAGAGCUUAUGUCUAGGGUAACGAGCUAGUUUCUCAUCUGUAAAAAGGGCAUUAUAUUGUCUGAUCUGCUUCCUUCCCACAACUUUUAAAUACGGGGUAAAACAUGUAAAACAAAGCCUCUUGAAAAUCUAAAUGCAGGGCCUGUUCCGUGGCUCACUAGGCUAAUCCUCCGCCUGUGGCGCUGGCACCCCGGGUUCUAGUCCCUGUUGGGGCGCCAAUUCUGUCCCAGUUAUUCCUCUUCCAGCUCUCUGCUGUGGCCCAGGAAGGCAGUGGAGGAUGGCCCAAGUGCUUGGGCUCUGCACCCACAUAGGAGACCAGGAGGGAGCACCUGGCUCCUGGCUUUGGACUGGCGCAGUGUGCUGGCCUUAGCAGCCAUUUUGGGGGGUGAACCAAUGGAAGGAAGACCCUAACUCUGCCUGUCAAAAAAAAAAAAAAAAAAAAAAAAGAAGUGAUAUCUGGAACUAUAACAAAUAAAUUAUGGAACUUAAAUCUAUGGACACUAACUACAGCUUCAUAUGUCUAAUACUCACAGAUUUAUUUUUAUGGCCUAUGAGGUUUUACAAUGAUUUAUAUUUCUUAGUGGUUUUCUUCAUUGAUUCAGAGAGGUAGAAAACAAAUGGAUUUAACUCCUGAGACACUUGUAUGGGGUUAUAUGAUGCCUGAAUGGUUUUAGGCCACAUCUUGUUUUGGAAGUGUUGGUUUAAAUUUAAGUAUUUGGCUUCCAACUCAUUUGCAGUGAUGUGUUAUGAGAAUAUAUUACUAGUUUUAUGCAGUACAUCUUACAGGUUUUAUAGACCAAUGUUAUAUGUUUUUUGUCAAGUUACAUGUGAGAGAAAACUGCCAGAUGUGAAAGAAGAGAGAGUUUCCUGUGUGUGCUGCAGUGGAUGUUUAACUUAGGGAAUGGAGCACACAUGGCCACAUGGUGGAAGGAAUGUUGUUUCUCCAUCCUCCACCCCCUUCCCAAGGGCAACUGACCUCCUUGCCAAAAGAGGCGAGCCCUUGCCAGCCCAUAUGACUACAGACUAUUACAUUAAUCUGUCUAGCUGCAGUACCAGCUGCUUGCAUGUUUUUAGUUAUCUUAUUAGAUGGUAUAACAGUGACCUAUGAAAUUAAUUGAAGGUGAACAUUGUUAACUUCCCUUUUAUUACCCUAUGUUUCCCCAAAUC